rnacentral:rRNA from 1 species
UACGUAGGGUGCGAGCGUUAAUCGGAAUUACUGGGCGUAAAGCGUGCGCAGGCGGUUUUGUAAGCCAGAUGUGAAAGCCCCGGGCUUAACCUGGGAAUGGCAUUUGGGACUGCGAGGCUUGAGUGCGGCAGAGGAGACUGGAAUUCCUGGUGUAGCAGUGAAAUGCGUAGAUAUCAGGAGGAAUACCGAUGGCGAAGGCAGGUCUCUGGGCUGACACUGACGCUCAUGCACGAAAGCGUGGGGAGCAAACAGG